UACGUAGGGGGCUAGCGUUGUCCGGAUUUAUUGGGCGCAAAGAGCUCGUAGGCGGUUCGGUAAGUCGGGUGUGAAAUCUCCACGCUCAACGUGGAGGGGCCACCCGAUACUGCCAUGACUCGAGUCCGGUAGGGGAGUGUGGAAUUCCCGGUGUAGCGGUGAAAUGCGCAGAUAUCGGGAGGAACACCCGUAGCGAAGGCGGCACUCUGGGCCGGUACUGACGCUGAGGAGCGAAAGCGUGGGUAGCAAACAGG
rnacentral:rRNA from 1 species